AUACGGAGGGUGCAAGCGUUGUUCGGAAUUACUGGGCGUAAAGCGCGCGUAGGCGGUCUGUUAUGUCAGAUGUGAAAGUCCUCGGCUCAACCGGGGAAGUGCAUUUGAAACUGGCAGACUUGAGUACUGGAGGGGGUGGUGGAAUUCCCGGUGUAGAGGUGAAAUUCGUAGAUAUCGGGAGGAAUACCGGUGGCGAAGGCGACCACCUGGCCAGAUACUGACGCUGAGGUGCGAAAGCGUGGGGAGCAAACAGGAUUAGAUACCCGAGUAGUCC
rnacentral:rRNA from 1 species